AUUGAACGCUGGCGGCAGGCCUAACACAUGCAAGUCGAACGGUAACAGGGAUCCGCUUGCUGAUUCGCUGACGAGUGGCGGACGGGUGAGUAAUGUCUGGGAAACUGCCUGAUGGAGGGGGAUAACUACUGGAAACGGUAGCUAAUACCGCAUAACGUCGCAAGACCAAAGAGGGGGACCUUCGGGCCUCUUGCCCUCGGAUGUGCCCAGAUGGGAUUAGCUAGUAGGUGGGGUAACGGCUCACCUAGGCGACGAUCCCUAGCUGGUCUGAGAGGAUGACCAGCCACACUGGAACUGAGACACGGUCCAGACUCCUACGGGAGGCAGCAGUGGGGAAUAUUGCACAAGGGGCGCAAGCCUGAUGCAGCCAUGCCGCGUGUAUGAAGAAGGCCUUCGGGUUGUAAAGUACUUUCAGCGGGGAGGAAGGGAGUAAAGUUAAUACCUUUGCUCAUUGACGGUACCCGCAGAAGAAGCACCGGCUAACUCCGUG
rnacentral:rRNA from 1 species